UUAUUUUAGCGGCGGGCGGGUGAGUAACGUGUGGGUAACCUGCCUUUUACUGGGGGAAUAAUCACUGGAAACGGUGACUAAUACCGCAUACGGGUUCUUGGAAGGCAUCUUCUAGGAAAGAAAGGAUUUAUUCGGUAAAAGAUGGGCCCGCAUCUGAUUAGCUAGUUGGUGAGAUAACAGCCCACCAAGGCGACGAUCAGUAGCCGACCUGAGAGGGUGACCGGCCACAUUGGGACUGAGACACGGCCCAAACUCCUACGGGAGGCAGCAG
rnacentral:rRNA from 1 species